rnacentral:rRNA from 1 species
UGGUCAAGUUAUUAAGGGUGCAGGGCGGAUGCCUUGGCACUAGGAGCCGAUGAAGGACGUGAUAAGCUGCGAUAAGCUUCGGGGAGUUGCACGUAAACUUUGAUCCGAAGAUUUCCGAAUGAGGAAACUCACUUAGAGUAAUGUCUAAGUAUCAUUAAGUGAAUACAUAGCUUAAUGAGGGGAACUCAGGGAACUGAAACAUCUAAGUACCUGAAGGAAGAGAAAGAAAUUCGAUUCCGUAAGUAGCGGCGAGCGAACGCGGAUUAGCCCAAACCAAUAAAGUUUUCUUU